GACGAACGCUGGCGGCGUGCUUAACACAUGCAAGUCGAACGGAAAGGCCCUGCUUUGGUGGGGUGCUCGAGUGGCGAACGGGUGAGUAACACGUGAGUAACCUGCCCUUGACUUUGGGAUAACUUCAGGAAACUGGGGCUAAUACCGGAUAGGAGCUCCUGCUGCAUGGUGGGGGUUGGAAAGUUUCGGCGGUUGGGGAUGGACUCGCGGCUUAUCAGCUUGUUGGUGGGGUAGUGGCUUACCAAGGCUUUGACGGGUAGCCGGCCUGAGAGGGUGACCGGACACAUUGGGACUGAGCUACGGCCCAGACUCCUACGGGAGGCAGCAGUGGGGAAUAUUGCACAAUGGGCGGAAGCCUGAUGCAGCAACGCCGCGUGCGGGAUGACGGCCUUCGGGUUGUAAACCGCUUUCGCCUGUGACGAAGCGUGAGUGACGGUAAUGGGUAAAGAAGCACCGGCUAACUACGUG
rnacentral:rRNA from 1 species